rnacentral:rRNA from 1 species
UACGGAGGGGACUAGCGUUGUUCGGAAUUACUGGGCGUAAAGCGCACGUAGGCGGAUUUGUAAGUCAGGGGUGAAAUCCCGGGGCUCAACCUCGGAACUGCCUUUGAUACUGCAAAUCUCGAGUCCGGAAGAGGUGAGUGGAAUUCCUAGUGUAGAGGUGAAAUUCGUAGAUAUUAGGAAGAACACCAGUGGCGAAGGCGGCCAUCUGGACCAGCACUGACGCUGAGGCACGAAAGCGUGGGGAGCAAACAGG